GAGUUUGAUCGUGGCUCAGGAUGAACGCUGGCGGCGUGCCUAAUACAUGCAAGUCGAGCGAACGGACGAGAAGCUUGCUUCUCUGAUGUUAGCGGCGGACGGGUGAGUAACACGUGGAUAACCUACCUAUAAGACUGGGAUAACUUCGGGAAACCGGAGCUAAUACCGGGAUAAUAUUUUGAACCGCAUGGUUCAAAAGUGAAAGACGGUCCUUGCUGUCACUUAUAGAUGGAUCCGCGCUGCAUUAGCUAGUUGGUAAGGUAACGGCGUUACCAAGG
rnacentral:rRNA from 1 species